UGGAGCCAGGCUUGAAGUGGAGGUUUUCUGGGGUUUUGAGUUUGGAGUUGCUGCAUUUUGGUCCCAUUGUUAGGGUUAUGGUAUAUGUGAGAAUGGGAUCUUCGUGUUGGAGGUUUUAACAAAAAUGGAAGAGGGAGACUGUAGAGACAGAAUAGUUAUAGAGACGGUGAGAAAUGGAGUGGAAGGAGUCCGACAGCCGGAUGAAAGGUGAGCCUACCGCACUUAUAUGGUUAUGUGGGAUAGGAAGAAUUACUAUUAUCCCCCUAGGUUUAGCUAUAAUUACA
rnacentral:misc_RNA from 1 species